AAGUCAGUAACAAGGUUUACCGAUGUCAGGUUGGAACCACUUGGCGGGAAAGGGAAUUCCAAUUUAACCAAAAUAAAGCUGGUAGGAAGUGGGGUCUUGAUCUGUAAGUGGUAGAGCGAACAGUCCGGCUGCCUCCCGAAAUGUCUUACAUGUCCCCCACAGCCUGAAGGCCGAAUUACAACCCUUGAUUAUCUACACUUGUUGCUUUGGGGUGCUCAAGUGCCCCAGAGGACCCAACUCUCUUGCAUUUAGUGACGUCUGAGUACUAUAUAAUAUUUAAAA
rnacentral:misc_RNA from 1 species